rnacentral:misc_RNA from 1 species
UCCGAGUUGUCCCCGGCAGUCCUCUUAGAGUCCCCGGCAUUACCCGCUGGCAACUAAGAGCAGGGGUUGCGCUCGUUGCGGCACUUAAGCCAACACCUCACGGCACGAGCUGACGACAGCCAUGCAGCACCUGUGCUGGCCCCCGAAGGCACUCCUCCAUCUCUGGUGGAUUCCAUCAAUGUCAAGGGCAGGUAAGGUUCUUCGCGUUGCAUCGAAUUAAACCACAUGCUCCACCGCUUGUGCGGGUCCCCGUCAAUUCCUUUGAGUUUUAGCCUUGCGGCCGUACUCCCCAGGCGGGGCACUUAAUGCGUUAGCUUCGACACGGACGGAGUCGACACCGCCCACAUCUAGUGCCCAUCGUUUACGGCGUGGACUAC